UCAAUUCGAAACCAGCUAUCUAAAUACCUAAAUCGAGUAUAUGAGAAGUUCUCAUUUUCUUUUUAGACAUACAAGGAAGGGAAUGUCCCCCUUACAACAUUCGAUCAAAAUCAUGUUACCGACGCUUCUCUUGUCCACCAAUUACUUUGUCCACAUAUAUGGUGUCCACAAUAUGGCACAUAUAUGGUGUCCACAUGUAUGGUAUCCACAUAUAGAUCUUAUGCAUGUAAACAGAUCCAAUGCUCAUAAACGAUUCACUUUUUUCCAUACACCUACCUUUUCGUUUUAACUUUUUUCAUUUAUUACAACUAAACACAAACUUAGUUUCAACUUACUCACCUUACGGUUGCCUCCUUAAAAGAAAGAGAUUCUC
rnacentral:lncRNA from 1 species